UACGGAGGGUGCGAGCGUUGUCCGGAAUCACUGGGCGUAAAGGGCGCGUAGGCGGCCUGAUAAGUAGGGGGGGAAAUCUUGCGGCUUAACCGCAAGGCUGCCUUCUAAACUGUCAGGCUAGAGCACAGUAGAGGCAGGUGGAAUUCCCGGUGUAGCGGUGGAAUGCGUAGAGAUCGGGAAGAACAUCAGUGGCGAAGGCGGCCUGCUGGGCUGUUGCUGACGCUGAGGCGCGACAGCGUGGGGAGCAAACAGG
rnacentral:rRNA from 1 species